rnacentral:rRNA from 1 species
UACAGAGGGUGCGAGCGUUAAUCGGAAUUACUGGGCGUAAAGCGCGCGUAGGCGGUUUUGUAAGUCGGGUGUGAAAUCCCCAGGCUCAACCUGGGAACUGCAUUCGAGACUGCAUAGCUGGAGUGCGGCAGAGGGGGAUGGAAUUCCGCGUGUAGCAGUGAAAUGCGUAGAUAUGCGGAGGAACACCGAUGGCGAAGGCAAUCCCCUGGGCCUGCACUGACGCUCAUGCACGAAAGCGUGGGGAGCAAACAGG